AUGGCGGGACUGAAGCCCAGCGUGAACCUCUUCGCGCUCCUCGACCGCAACGAUCCCGGCGACAAGCUCGUCCCCGACUUCGACGACGCCGAUGCCAAACAGGAGGUGACUGCGGCCAAGCACAAGAAGAAGCCGACGCCGGCCGCCGAUCAUACCAAGGAUCUACUCGGCCAGGCCUACCCUUCUGCACGGGAUUACAUGAUCAGGAAGAACCAGCGGGAGAGACAGGCCAAGGCCAAGGCAAAGGCGGAAGCGGAGGCAAGGGCGAAGGCGAAGGCGAAGGCGAAGGCGAACAAUGGAGUUUCCGGUGAUGAUAAGAGCGCAGGGGCUUCGGCGGAUAGCAGCAAGGUACAGGACGCAGCAAAGCAAGGUAGAUAUUACAAUAACAACUACUACAACGGAGCAUCGAGGAAUCAGCAAUUCGGCAUGUCGGUCAGAUUCGGGGCGCCAAGGAGGCAGCAAGCCAGCAUGUCCAUGAACGAGGCGGCCCCUGCAGAAGGCGUGGAGGCGCCGCCGGCUCCCCAGCAGGCUCCUCCGCCGCCGCCGCCGAGCCUCGAUGACACCAACGAGUUCCCUUCGCUGAAGUAG
rnacentral:rRNA from 1 species